ACCUCUUGGUUUUCAGGGAUGACUAACUACAUGAUUGACCUCCUUACAGAAGGCAGAAUAUCUCUAGGAUGGAGAUAUGGAGAUAGUUCUUUGGGUGAAGAAUACUCUUCUGGAAUCAGCACUGAAUACUGACCCAUCCCACUCAAAACCAGCUCAACUAUAAAUACUAAGCAGUGAGUGGGGAGAAGACUUAAAAGUGCUUAAGGGGUAAGAAAACAGAAACAGAUGAAGAGAAACAGGUCAGAAGCAAGGCUGGAGAACAACUUAAGGAAA